UAUUUGUCAUUUUUCCAUGUCUUGCAUGUUUAAAUGAAUGUUCCGUUACCCACACACUGGUCAGUCGGUACCAAGAGAGGAAACAAUCUGGCAAACUCAGAAAACCAGUUGUGACAAUGGUCCCUGCUCCUCCUUCUGAAAUACAGCCAGUGCACGUGGUGUUGAAAAAAUUUGUGUUCAGGCCUUGAGUGACAUGAGCUGAGGAAAACCAGAUAAACCAAAUUGACACAUAAAGGGACAAUUUCGGUUUUUCCCCCCGGAUUUCCCUCACAAGGCACAGCUCAUGGGCUCAGGAUGUGUGGUUCCAUGGUGUAAUGGUUAGCACUCUGGACUCUGAAUCCAGCGAUCCGAGUUCAAAUCUCGGUGGAACCUGAAACUUUUUUGCAGUGGGCAAAUCUCUUUGCUGGAAAACCGUGGAAAAGUUGUUUCAGGUGUUUUUCAUGGACUGUUGAAAUGCCGUGAACUGCUGACAUAUCCCGUGCUGCCUGGAAAGCGUAUGGAAAGUGAAAGAGGAAGAGAAAACAAACAUAGAAUUUUCCUGAUUAUAUUUUUUCCCACAGCUAUUACUUAUUGCAGCCAGGUUGGUAUAUUCUGACAGGAAUUAUCUGAAGAAUCUCAGAGAUGUCACAGCUCACUGGAACAUCAGUGGUUUUAUUUCUACACUGGGAACACGAUUCUAAAUUCUGCAUUAGCAAAGCUGGAGGCACCGCUGAGCUCCGGGGCAGGGUUGCUCAGGACACCAGAACACCAUCUCCCCUCCUGCAAACCUCUCCUCACUAGUCACUGGUUAACACAGCAACAGAAACAUCCCUACUCUGUGCCAGCAGCUCCUCUUCCUCUGGCCAGGAAGGUGACUUUUAGACUGAAAUGGUGGUGUGCUAACAAAUGGAAAAG